rnacentral:rRNA from 1 species
UACGAGUGGUGCAAGCGUUAUUCGGAUUAAUUGGGCGUAAAGGGUGCGCAGGCGGUAUGUUAAGUCAACUGUUAAAUACCUCAGCCUAACUGAGGAACAGCAGUAGAUACUGGCACACUAGAGAGUGGAAGAGAGAAGUGGAAUUCUUGGAGUAGCGGUAAAAUGCGUAGAUCUCAAGAGGAACACCAAUGGCGAAGGCAGCUUCUUGGUCCAUUUCUGACGCUCAGGCACGAAAGCGUGGGGAGCAAACAGG